GCCACAUACCUGUGUGUGCUGCAGGGAAGAACAGUGAUGCUUACUAAAUCACUAUGAACAAUUAAAGCAGCAGAGGGGAGGAAGACAGCGCUAUAGUUUCCAGCUCCCCAGUCCUCCUCUGCCCCUGCAUGAAUUUCAUAAAGCACAAUUCCCUCAGCAGAAAUCCCUCAGCAAUUGAUUUCCUGCUCGUGGAAUACAGCUGGCAGACACCCAGGCUUUCCUGGACAGAAAAGGAGAAUUUGCCUUGAUGUUUUCCCCAGCCAUGCAGCUGUGAUGUCAAAUCCACCCUCCCUGCCCUGCCAGGAGAUUCCUGAAGUGACAUGUUCCUGUGGGGUGACAAUGCUCUGGAGAAGCACAGAGAUCUCUGUGUCAGUGAAUGGAAGCCCCGCAAGAGCAGAUCCCUAAUUCAGGCUCCUUCUUUGUUCACAAGCAGUUUCCAGCAGAAAAUUCUCAGUGGUUGCAUUUCCCCAGAACAGCACAUUUCAAGCACAAUUUUCCCUUGAGCUUUUCUGCCUUCCACAAAAGCAGCAUGCCCAGGAUUGCUUUGGAGAAGAGCAAAUAGCUCCAGCACAAAGAGGAGCACCAGGAAACAGAGCAAAACCAACAGCCCAGACCAUCCAAACCCACUUACCGGCCCAGUGCCACAUCUCCUGGACUCACCUGAAUGCUCAGGGGAGUCUCAAAAGCCAACUGUUUUCUGAGAAACAGCUGUGCAAAAGAAAGGUAAAUGGCAGGGGCAAUCAGCCCCACACAAGCACCUCUGACAGGGUGUUAUGGGUUAACACGGUUUGUUUUUUUAGUUAAAGAAUAAUGGGACUAUUGCCCUGUCAGGACCUUGGAUUUCUUUAGAAAAGCCGAGGACCUAUCAAGCGCCAGUUCUUGACUAUUGCCAUGUGGUUUGACCACUGAGAAAACAGAAUGCGACUUUUGGUAAUAGCCAUAUAAAACUGAGGCUUUGUUGGAGCUCUCCCUCUCUUUUCUCCCGGUGAGCCGCCAGGUAACGUCGUGGGCCAUGGCAGGGCCCGGCUUAGGCCCGCUCCGCCUUGGGCGGCCGGGCCCGGCCCAGCCGGGUCUCUGUGAGCCGCUGCCGCAGGGAGCGGCCCGGGCAGCCGAGCCCAGCUCCUCUUCUCUCCCGGCUGCCGCAGGGAGCGGCCCGGGCAGCCGAGCCCGGCUCCUCUUCUCUCCCGGCUGCCGCAGGGAGCGGCCCGGGCAGCCGAGCCCAGCUCCUCUUCUCUCCCGGCUGCCGCAGGGAGCGGCCCGGGCAGCCGAGCCCAGCUCCUCUUCUCUCCCGGCUGCCGGCGGGGGACACGGGGGGCUCUGGCUCCGCAGGGCUGGCCGCAGGCUGGAUCAGAUCGAGGGGUGGGUAAGAAAGCAUCCACCCGCCUCCUCUCCCGGCAGGGCUUUGAGAUCUUUGCAGCUGCCGCCCGGCAAGAACCACACGAGCACCGCAGGCCUGGGCAAGCUUCAACUCUUUCCUGCCAGCAAAUGGGACUCCCAGAGCACCAGCCCUUCCUGAGCCUGAGGAAGGAGCUGCAGUUGUUGUCCCUCCAGAGUGGGGUACAAGGGCCACAGCUGUCCCAGUUUCAGAGACAGGUGCCUUGCAGCCAGGAUGACAGGACAGGAUGAUGACACAGAUGAUUCUACCUAACUUGACAAGCCCAGCCUCUCCCAGCCAGUGAUGCAUCCCACACAGCACUGAAGAUGGAACAUUCCUGUGGAGGAGCUGUCAAACGGGAUUCCCAACAAUACAGGUUUUCAACUUGGUAACCUCCAGGCUUAUUACUUGAGAGUUACAAACUUGCAUCUUAACUCUAAAAUCAAGAAACCUUUAAGCCUUAGAGCAGUGGGAAAACUAAUCAACAGGGAAAACAAUCUGUUUUAAUUUGGGUUCCUUAACUCACAUCCACAGACAAAUCCUCAACUCCUCAGAUAUGAAUCUAUCAAA